rnacentral:rRNA from 1 species
ACGCGAGCUGGGUUCAGAACGUCGUGAGACAGUUCGGUCCCUAUCCGUCGCAGGCGUAGGAAAUUUGAGAAGACCUGUCCUUAGUACGAGAGGACCGGGAUGGACGUACCUCUGGUGUACCAGUUGUCCUGCCAAGGGCAUGGCUGGGUAGCUAUGUACGGAAUGGAUAAGCGCUGAAAGCAUCUAAGCGCGAAGCCAACUUCAAGAUAAGAUUUCCCACCGUAAGGGUAAGACCCCAGAAAGACUAUCUGGUUGAUAGGUCGAAGGUGUAAGUGCAGCAAUGUAUUUAGCUUAUCGAUACUAAUAGGUCGAGGACUUGACCAAU